rnacentral:rRNA from 1 species
UACGUAGGGGGCGAGCGUUGUCCGGAUUUAUUGGGCGUAAAGAGCGUGUAGGCGGUUCGGUAAGUCUGUCGUGAAAUCCUGAGGCUCAACCUCGGGCGUGCGAUGGAUACUGCCGGGCUAGAGGGUGGUAGAGGCGAGUGGAAUUCCCGGUGUAGCGGUGAAAUGCGCAGAUAUCGGGAGGAACACCAGUGGCGAAGGCGGCUACCUGGCCCACUCUUGACGCUGAGGCGCGGAAAGCUAGGGGAGCAAACAGGG